rnacentral:misc_RNA from 1 species
UCGCUCCAAUAGUGAAAGUUGGAUGCAAAAAAYGAGUUCCUGUGUUGCAUACCUAUUGAGACGGUAGUUUGUCCCUUCRGUGGUUCCUUCCAUCACAGCAUCCUUUUGGAAGCUUGGUUGGACUAGAUAGUCGGGCUUGUGCUCCAUGAACAUCAUCUCAUUUGAUCGUUCGUAUGGAUCAUGAGUGCCUUACUUGUUCUCUCGGAUGCGGAACUUUUUCCAUGGGUGAUGGGGUCAUCGGCCCUUUGUUCCCAAAUUGUUAAGCGCUUGGCGCUCUUACUGGAAUGACGCUCUUGCCUCGUCUUUGACCAAAUGGAGCUCUAGGGCUUCAUGAUGGAUCAUGCGGGGCAGACGUCGUGAAGGAAUGCUACCUGGUUG